rnacentral:rRNA from 1 species
CCCUUAGAUGUUCUGGGCCGCACACGCGCUACACUGAAGGAGGCAGCGUGUACUCCUGGAUCGAAAGAUUUGGGUAACCCGCGAAUCUCCUUCGUGCUAGGGAUUGAGGUUUGCAAUUAUCCUUCAUGAACGAGGAAUUCCCAGUAAGUGCAAGUCAUAAGCUUGCGCUGACUACGUCCCUGCCCUUUGUACACACCGCCCGUCGCUACUACCGAUUGAAUGGUCCGGUGAAGCGUUCGGACCGUGGCCUUUGGACGGUUCGCCGUCUGUUGGCUGCGGGAAGUUCGUUAAACCUUAUCAUUUAGAGGAAGGAGAANUCGUANCA